GCUGUGGGUGGGGAGUUUCCAGCAGAGUUCUUUAGUGAGGAGCAGUCUGAGGUUGAAGAAGAAGACGUAGACUCCAUUGAAGACAAGGAUAAAAGG
rnacentral:sRNA from 1 species